rnacentral:rRNA from 1 species
AUCUGGUUGAUCCUGCCAGUAGUCAUAUGCUUGUGUUAAAGAUUAAGCCAUGCAUGCCUAAGUAUAGGUGGAUAAAAUAACCGAAACUGCGGAUGGCUCAUUAAAUCAGUCAUAAUUAAUUUGGUGAUGACAAUAGAAGGAUAACCCUGUUAAUUGUAGAGCUAAUACAUGAAUAACUGAUAUCGGAAUGGGGGAGGAGACUGUGGGGCAACCUGCGAUCUUUUUCUUUGUGAAGAUAGCAUUUGUCAGCUCUGGAAUCUUGUGUCUUCGGGCAUGAGAGGGAAGUAUGAGAAAUGUACCCAUAGCCUAGGAAGCCAAAAAAGAGAAAAACCAAUCCAAGAGUGUAAUAAGGAGGCUUUGUGGGAUGAUGAUGUACGUACUUUCUAUGCAAACACAGCAAGGAACAAAGACAAAAAGCAAUAUGUUUUUUUCUCUUUCUCAGCAAUGGGGAGGAGAGGGGAAUAUAGUAGCGAAUCGCAGCAAAGCCCUGGGGCGACUUGGGGCGGCGAUGAACCAAACGAAAGACUGACCUAUCAAGUGGAUGGUAAGAUAGGGGCUUACCAAGCUAAUAACGGGUAACGGGGAAUUAGGGUUCGAUUCCGGAGAGGGAGCCUGAGAAAUGGCUACCACUUCCAAGGAAGGCAGCAGGCGCGUAAAUUACUCGGUGCCGACACGGCGAGGUAGUGACGACAAAUACCGAUGGCAGCCACUGUGUGGUUGACGAUUGGAAUGAGCGCGACGCAAAAAAGCGCGCGAGUAACAAUUGGAGGGCAAGUCUGGUGCCAGCAGCCGCGGUAAUUCCAGCUCCAAGAGUGUAUACUAAAGCUGUUGCGGUUAAAAAGCUCGUAGUUAACUUUAGGAAUUACUUACAAGGCAGAACAUUUAUGUGAUGUUUUGUGGUAAUGAAAUACACACUGAGCAAUCGGGGUGUAUAAAAAUAUUUAGAUUACUCAUAGAAGCAAUUAAGUUUGCGACAUACUGUGAGUACUAGAUGUAUUACUUUGAAUAAAAUAGAGUGUUUAAAGCAAAAUCUAACGAUUUAUGAAUAUAUUAGCAUGGGAUAAUGAAGAUAUGUCUCGUGGGUGCGUGAUAUGGAUAUUUUAAUUGGUUUUUAGUCCGGACGGGGUAUGUGAUAGGGUGUCUAAACGGCAGUUGGUUUCGGCCAGCUGUUGGGUAGAGCAUUCUAUAAUGUAUUCAACAGUUCAAGGUCUAUAAUAAACUAUGCAUAUUGACCACGGGGGUUCUCAAAGCACAUCAGUGCUUAGGAAUAGACAUGGAAUAGAAACAAAUGGGGUGGUUUAUAUUUCAUAGCGAGGGGUGAAAUCCUAUGACCUAUGAAAGAUAAACAAAAGCGAAAGCAUUCCACAAAAAUGUUUUCAUUGAUCAAGAACGAAAGUUGGGGGAUCGAAGACGAUCAGAUACCGUCGUAGUCUCAACUAUAAACUAUGCCGACCAGGGAUUGGAAUAGAAACAAUCGCUGCAGACAGAGGGUCAAACCUCUGGCUGUAGUGAUUUAAUCGAAUUAUUGUUUUAACAGCAAUGUUGAAACAAAUAGACUCCUCCAGCACCUAGAGAGAAAUCGAAUGAGUGUAUGGGCUUCGGGGGGAGUAUGGUCGCAAGGCUGAAACUUAAAGGAAUUGACGGGAGGGCACACCAGGAGUGGAGCCUGCGGCUUAAUUUGACUCAACACGGGGAAACUUACCAGGGCCAGAUAGUAGGAGGAUUGACAGAUUGAGAGCUCUUUCUUGAUUUGCUAGGUGGUGGUGCAUGGUCGUUCUUAGUUGGUGGUGUGAAUUGUCUGGUUAAUUCCGAUAACGAACGAGACCUUAACUUAUUAAAUAAAUUGGGUGAAGGAUUUCCUCACACACGCGGGGCAACUUGUGUGUUGUGGGGGUCAAAAACUUUACACUAAUUUCUUAAAAGGACUAUUUAUGUUUAUUAAACUAAUAGAUGGAAGUUUGAGGCAAUAACAGGUCUGUGAUGCCCUUCGAUGCUCUGGGCCGCACGCGCGCUACAAUGAUGAAUUCAAUGAGUAUUAAAGACACACGCAGGGUGCAUCUGUACACUGUGUGUGACUAUGACCUAAUUCGAAAAGAAUAAGGGAAGCUUUGUAAUGUUCAUCAAGCUGGGGAUAGAUCAUUGGAAUUAUUGGUCUUGAACGAGGAAUUCCUAGUAAGCGCAAGUCAUCAGCUUGCGUUGAUUACGUCCCUGCCCUUUGUACACACCGCCCGUCGCUCCUACCGAUUGGAUGAUCCGGUGAAAAUGUUGGAUUUGACUGCACUCUUAUGGGUGCGAUUGGAGAAAAUAUUUGAACCUUAUUAUCUAGAGGAAGGAGAAGUCGUAACAAGGUAUCCGUAGGUGAACCUGCGGAAGGAU